rnacentral:tRNA from 1 species
UCCCUAGUGGUCUAGUGGUUAAGACUCUGAACUUUCAAUGCAGGGGGCACAGGUUUGAUCCCUGGUCAGGGAA